AAACGCCGUAUACUUGGAAACUUGUUUGUACGGUGUUGUGUGGGGCUUAUUGUAAUAAUGAAACUUUCAUGAAACGCAAUAAUUCUAUCACGAU
rnacentral:ncRNA from 1 species